GUAAAAGGUUGGGUAAAUGAAAAACAAAACAACUCAAGGGUUGGGUAAUAUAAAAGUAUUGUCAUUUCCAAAGCACGACUCACUAAAAUAUUGAAGACUAAAAAGUAAUGUCAACCAUCAUAUGUCAAUACAAUAUGUUAUAUGUAAAUCAAUCAGAGUCACUAUCUUGAUCAUUUUCCCCUUUGUCGAGAGGCAAAUGGUGUCUCGAAAGAAAGUACAUGUGUAGACAGCAUGAAACUUUAAAUUGCAGAAAAUUGGGUAAUCGUUCCAUGUUUCGUGCACCAAUAUAGUAAACGUUAUGUAAUGGAUAUUAUAGUGUACUGAAAAGUUAACUGGAUACCUCCAUACACGUAUAUACUAACCCUAACCUUAAACCUAACCCCUAACCUUAAUACCUAACCCCUAACCCUAACCUAUAUUGGUGCGCGGAACAUGGAACGAUAACCGAAAAUUGCACGGGCAGUUAUCAAACUCAGGUCACGCGGAAGUGGUGAAGGACAUGUGUGACAAUUGAAUGGUGAGUUUUUGGCCAGGGAUGGGCAUUUAUUUUUUAAUUGCUAUUUGAGGUUGUGUAAAACAUAUUUUAACUUUCCAGUGGUCGGAUCAGCAAAAUUUUUGCCAAGAAAAAACUUUUCUCUUCGGUGCCACCCCCCCCCCCCCACAAUAAAUAAUGACCGGUCCCUUGAAUAUUGUUAAGUUUCAUCGUACUAGUAGUUUUAUUCUCCAC
rnacentral:lncRNA from 1 species